rnacentral:rRNA from 1 species
GAUGAACGCUGGCGGCGUGCUUAACACAUGCAAGUCGAACGAUGAAGCCCUAGCUUGCUGGGGUGGAAGAGUGGCGAACGGGUGAGUAACACGUGAGUAACCUGCCCUUAACUCUGGGAUAAGCACUGGAAACGGUGUCUAAUACUGAAUAUGACCUCUGGAGGCAUCUUUGGGGGUGGAAAGAUUUAUCGGUUUUGGAUGGACUCGCGGCCUAUCAGCUUGUUGGUGAGGUAAUGGCUCACCAAGGCGACGACGGGUAGCCGGCCUGAGAGGGGGACCGGCCACACUGGGACUGAGACACGGCCCAGACUCCUACGGGAGGCAGCAGUGGGGAAUAUUGCACAAUGGGCGCAAGCCUGAUGCAGCAACGCCGCGUGAGGGAUGACGGCCUUCGGGUUGUAAACCUCUUUUAGUGAGGAAGAAGCGAAAGUGACGGUGCUCACAGAAAAAGCACCGGCUAACUACGUGCCAGCAGCCGCCGUAA